rnacentral:tRNA from 1 species
AAGGUUUUAGCUUAAUUAAAGUACCUGUUUUGCAUACAGGAGAUGUGGGUUAAUGUCCUGCAAGUCUUA